UGGUGUUAUCGGCUAUCUUAAUACAUC
rnacentral:piRNA from 1 species